rnacentral:rRNA from 1 species
GUGGGGAAUCUUAGACAAUGGGGGAAACCCUGAUCUAGCCAUGCCGCGUGAGCGAUGAAGGCCUUAGGGUUGUAAAGCUCUUUCAGCUGGGAAGAUAAUGACGGUACCAGCAGAAGAAGCCCCGGCUAACUCCGUGCCAGCAGCCGCGGUAAUACGGAGGGGGCUAGCGUUGUUCGGAAUUACUGGGCGUAAAGCGCGCGUAGGCGGACCAGAAAGUUGGAGGUGAAAUCCCAGGGCUCAACCUUGGAACUGCCUUCAAAACUCCCAGUCUUGAGUUCGAGGGAGGUGAGUGGAAUUCCGAGUGUAGAGGUGAAAUUCGUAGAUAUUCGGAGGAACACCAGUGGCGAAGGCGGCUCACUGGCUCGAUACUGACGCUGAGGUGCGAAAGCGUGGGGAGCAAACAGGAUUAGAUACCCCUGUAGUCC